GAUUUUUAUUUAGUUCGAAGAUAAAACAUCUUUUUUCAAUGUACUCAUCCACGCCUUUGUAUUUUUAUGACACACAUACACACAGUACAAUCGCACUUCUCUGUCUCUCGCUAGAAAUCAAGAACGAAACCAAUUGGUGGGGGUAAAUAUUAUUCGUUUUUCUAUGUGGAUCUGUUAAACUCACAAACUCACAGAUCUGUUAGAGUCACAAAAUCGGGGACCGGAGGCAAACGUAUCCUACAAAUCGACUUCAAUAUUUACUGAAAGUAUCGAUUUUCAAGAAGUAAAGAAUUGCGUAUCUGUAGUAGGUAGUUGGAGAGGACAGCAUGAAUCAAGAAUACAAAAAGGCAGCUACUAUCGGUAAAGCAACAAUGCAUCAAAGGAAACGACUUAAAAGAAGGAUUAACACAUUCAUAAGUAACGAUUUCGGCCACUUCAUGAGAACCAUCAACCUUAUCAGUAGAAGACUCUUUUUGUCUUGCUGACUUUUUGCAGUUACUACAAACAAGGUAAUAAGGAUCCAGUAUAGACAUAUACUAUUAAAAGAUUUUGAAUAGUUUAAAACUAUUACUUUUGUAUUUAGUACUCAUAUAUGUAUAAAAGUAUAGUAUCCUGGGUAGUUAUGUAAUAUAUAACAUUUUGUAAUAGUCAGUUUGUAUCCAUUCUUAUGUAAUUAAACUAUCAAUGUAAAAUAUUGUUUAUAAACAUGCAUGUAGCAUGUUUUGAAGUAGUUUGAAGUAGCUUGGAAUAAUAAUGUUUCAAUUAUGAAAGUGUGGGUCUCUCAAUCAUGGUAUCAAAGCAGUAGUUUAAGUGAACUAAAUUCCACGGAUUGGUAUUUAGACUUAAACCGCUAGAAGUUCAAUAUAUGAACGGAUUCAUUGUAAUUAUAUGGAUACAAAACUUAGGAAAGACUUAAGUAGAGUAUUAGGUAAUGAUAAACCCUAAUAUUCUAAAAUACAAUGUUACUCCAUGUUACAGAGCACUGACUGAAAAGGUGAGUAGCCAUACACCAUAGGUGGGUAGAGAUCCUCAACCUGAUGAUGUAAAUACUCAAGUAUCUCCUCGUCAGGGGCGACUAUUGGGUAAACUUACUGGUGUUAUUCGGAAAACUAUCGAAGAGCACAAAAAGAAUGAUGAUAAAGGAAAAGAGAAAUUCACCGGAGAAUCUUCAAAAGGAGACACGAGACAUCCUUCAUUCAAAACUUUCAAGAGUAGUGGUGAUACAGAGUUUUCUGUUGUCCUUAAUCCCAUAGUUGUUCUAACUUGGAUUCAAAACACAAAGAAAGUAUUUCAUAUUUCUCAUGUGGAUAAUGAAGACAAUGCUAGUUAUUCUUCUGCUAUGCUCGUCGGAGAAGCCUUGUUCUGAACGAAAGCAACAUAUGAAGCUCUCAACGGGUUUGACCAGGAGAAUUUUAAUGGGUUAUGACCAUUCUAACACCCCUAAGUGUACAUGUAACCUAGAAAACCUUGGAUCUAGGUUUGUCUAAAAUACAUGCAAAAUUUGAUUUCCAUGGUUCAUAAUCCUAUCUAGCAUACGCAGGGAACUUUUAACAUAAAAGAUGGCUAGAAUUACAUAACUUGUAGUUGAUUUGAUUCCUUGAAAACCUUGAGAGCCUAGCACCCCAAGUGUGAUGCCUUAAAUGUUUCACAGAACACCAAGUGCUUUGGAAUAACUUUGAGAGAAUGUAUAACACUUCAAAAUCAGCCUAGCCCUCUUCUUUUCUUAGUGUACCCGAUUUUAUAGGAUAUCAUGCUCUUUAUAUAGUGUGUCACAUCUAGGGUUACACCAUGUAAACCCUAAUGUGACAUGACUCUUCAUUUCCAUGACCCGUGAGUUAGUAACUCCCAUGGAGCAUCCAUGGAGCAUCCUAUGAGUUUUAACCCAACUUGAUAAUCCAUGGAGUAUUAGCCCACUAUAAAAGUUAUGGAUGAUUUACAUAAUCAACCCAUAUAUUUAAUUAGUCAUCUUUUGAUCACUUAAUUAAUUCUAGAUUAAUUCUUGACUAAUACUAAUUAAAUAAUAGUAUUAAUAUAUUAGAACUUAUAAUAUAUUAAUAAACCAUAAGUAUUAUUUCACUCAUUUUAGUUUAUCCAAAUGCAUGAUGCCAUGCAACCCAAAUGGACCAUGCCGGGUCGGGUCAAGUAUAUACCAGAUAUAGUUAUGGACUUAGAAACCUUAUCCAAAAAAUUUAUCCUAGGAAAUGUUCAAAACUCGCUUGCUAGGGAAGUAUUGUCCUUUGGACAUGAGGAGAAGAUUGGAGAAAGAAUUCAUUGAGCUUAAACAAGGAGGAAGACUAUGAUUGAUUAUGAAACUCAAUUCAAUCAAAAAGUACGGUUUGCUUCAAAGUAUAUUCCAAAUGAAGACGAUAAAAUUCAGUUAUUUUUUGAUGGACUACGCGAUGAAAUAUGUGAUUUCGUGGCUAAUCGGGAUGUUCUGUCAUUUGAAAACGCUGUUGAGUAUGCUCGAAAACGAGAGCAUGACUUAGAAAUACGCCGUGCCACUAUUUUUGUUCCGAAGCAUCCACGAAUUGAUCGAACUGCUCCUGUUCCCUCUAUUCCACCAGCUCAAUCUACUCGAACUGAACCUGGUAAACAAGUGCAAACUCAAAAUGCCCCUUGUGGCUGUGGAAGGUCGCAAUCUUUUUCUCUUCAAUCGUCAUCAUGUUGAAAUUGUGGAAAGAAUCAUCCGGGCGAAUGCAGAUUAGAAAAAGGAUCAGUGGUCUGUUAUGGAUGUGGAGAAGUAGGCCACAUGAUGUUUGUUUUUCCAAUGAAGAAUGUUACAUGCUUUGCUUGUGGUGUUGCUGGCCACAGAAAGCAUUUUUGCUCUACUCUUACAAGUCAAAUGACGGGAAGUCAAGCUUCUGUACAACAACUGGCGAGAAGUCAAGCUCUUGUUCAACAAUAAAAGGGUACUCCAACUAAUAAGGAGGAGGCGCCAAAAGUUAAGGGUUGUGCAUUCCAAACGACUUUUGUGCCAAAAUCAAAUGGUACUCCAAAUAAGGAGAAGUCAGAUUCUUUUGUGUCUCAAGAAUUUGUGCAUUCCUUUGAAAUUGCUUGCUAUGCACUCGCGCAACCAUUUCAUGUAGAUACUAUAGGAAGUAUAUUAUUACUUGCUAAUAAAGUCUAUAGGGAUUGUGUCAUAGAAAUUGAAGGCUAUAAUUUUCUUGCUAAUCUGAUUCCUAUCUCCUUGGCCAACCUUGAUAUUAUUCUCGGCAUGGAUUGGUUGUCAAAGAACCACACAGAACUCUUGUGCUUUGAAAAGAUAGUAUGUAUUCCCAUUGAAGGGGAGAAUCCUAUUUAUGUCUACGGUGAAGAAAGACUUAAAAUCGUAACAAUAAUCUCUUACGUAAAAGUUCGUAAAUUCAUAUCGAAGGGGUGUUCCUGAGAAAAUCAUAUUUUCUAGCCGAAACUUUGCCCGAGUAAGCCCAAUUUUCAACUAAAAUCGUUGGUUUUAUCACAGAAAGUCAUAUUUUGAGCCGAAGUGUUGCCCAACUUAUCAUUUAUUCCUUUGGUUAUUUCACGGUGAGUUCAAUAUAUAGGAACAAUUGUAUUUUAUGUCUUAUAUGUGCUAUGUGCUUUUCCGUGUUAUUAUUCCGUGCUAUUAUGUCUUAUAUGUGCUAUGUGCUUUUCCGUGUUAUUAUUCCGUGCUAUUAUGGUAGCAAAGUUGUACCUUUGACCAUGUGAUGAGUGGAAGGACUUAGAUUCACAGUGGUAUUGGUAUGUAGCCUCUGGCCGUGUAGAGCAUGUCUCGUAAGAGAAUGACUUCUACCCCUAUGGCAUUGGCAGAAGGUUAGAUAGGGCUAAAAGCCUGAAAUCAACCAAAAUGUUUAAAUCAGAAAGUGUAUGUCUAUUGUUCCAUUUGGGCCAAAACUUUACUGAUGUAUAUCAAGUAUUGAAGUUGUUAUGUCUCAUUGAUUGUAUAUCUUUGAAUCAAAUCAUUGAUUGAUAUGGAAAGCUUGUCACAUGAUUUACAAAUGCCUUUUUUGUUCCUUGUUCCUCUUUUCUUCUGCCAUAUUGAACUAUAUAUAUGGCAUAACGUUAUAUUGUAUCUAUUAUUGAACUGACUAAGCGUCACCGCUUAUCCC